rnacentral:rRNA from 1 species
ACAGAGGGGACAAGCGUUAUUCGGAAUUAUUGGGCGUAAAGGGCGCGUAGGCGGUUUCUUAAGUCGGAUGUGCAAUCCCCGGGCUCAACCUGGGAACUGCGUCCGAGACUGGGAGGCUAGAGUGCUGGAGAGGGUGGUGGAAUUCCUCGUGUAGCGGUGAAAUGCGUAGAGAUCGGCAGGAACACCAAGGGGGAAGCCAGCGUCCUGGCCCGCACCUGACACUCAGGGACGAAAGCGUGGGGAGCCAACCGGA